CGACAGGCUUAACACAUGCAAGUCGAGGGGCAUCGGGGCUUAGAGCUUGCUCUAAGUUGCCGGCGACCGGCGCACGGGUGAGUAACACGUAUGCAACCUACCUCUGACAGGGGGAUAAUCGGCGGAAACGCCGUCUAAUACCGCGUAGGAUCAGCAGAGGCAUCUUUGUUGGUUGAAAGAGAUUUGGUCAGAGAUGGGCAUGCGGCGCAUUAGCUAGUUGGGGGGGUAACGGCCCACCAAGGCGACGAUGCGUAGGGGUUCUGAGAGGAAGGUCCCCCACACUGGUACUGAGACACGGACCAGACUCCUACGGGAGGCAGCAGUGAGGAAUAUUGGUCAAUGGGCGCGAGCCUGAACCAGCCAAGUCGCGUGAGGGAAGACUGCCCUAAGGGUUGUAAACCUCUUUUGUCGGGGAGCAACGGCGUCACGUGUGAUGCUCUGAGAGUACCCGAAGAAAAAGCAUCGGCUAACUCCGUGCCAGCAGCCGCGGUAAUACGGAGGAUGCGAGCGUUAUCCGGAUUUAUUUGGGUUUAAAGGGUGCGUAGGCGGGCUAUCAAGUCAGCGGUAAAAUCGUGGGGCUCAACCCCAUCCUGCCGUUGAAACUGGUAUUCUUGAGUGAGUUAGAGGUAUGCGGAAUGCGUGGUGUAGCGGUGAAAUGCAUAGAUAUCACGCAGAACUCCGAUUGCGAAGGCAGCGUACCGGUGCUCAACUGACGCUGAUGCACGAAAGCGUGGGGAUCAAACAGGAUUAGAUACCCUGGUAGUCCACGCAGUAAACGAUGAAUACUACCUGUUUGUACUUGAGGUAUGAGUGGGACAGCGAAAGCGUUAAGUAUUCCACCUGGGGAGUACGCCGGCAACGGUGAAACUCAAAGGAAUUGACGGGGGCCCGCACAAGCGGAGGAACAUGUGGUUUAAUUCGAUGAUACGCGAGGAACCUUACCCGGGCUUGAAAGUUAGUGAAUGAGAUGGAAACAUUUCAGUCCUUCGGGACACGAAACUAGGUGCUGCAUGGUUGUCGUCAGCUCGUGCCGUGAGGUGUCGGCUUAAGUGCCUUAACGAGCGCAACCCUUGUUGUUAGUUGCCAUCAGGUGAUGCUGGGAACUCUAACAAGACUGCUACUGUAGGUAGAGGAAGGUGGGGAUGACGUCAAAUCAGCACGGCCCUUACGUCCGGGGCGACACACGUGUUACAAUGGUCGGUACAGAGGGUUGCUACCUGGCGACAGGAUGCUAAUCACAUAAAACCGAUCUCAGUUCGGAUCGGAGUCUGCAACUCGACUCCGUGAAGCUGGAUUCGCUAGUAAUCGCGAAGCAGCCAUGGCGCGGUGAAUACGUUCCCGGGC
rnacentral:rRNA from 1 species